GGAAUAAAAGUCGUAACAAGGUCUCCGUAGGUGAACCUGCGGAGGGAUCAUUACAGAGUUCAUGCCCUACCGGGUAGAUCUCCCACCCUAUGUUAUUAUUACUUUGUUGCUUUGGCGGGCCGUUAGGCUCCGGCCCGACCACCGGCCCCGGCUGGUAAGCGCCCGCCAGAGGACCCAAAACCCUGAAUAUUAGUGUCGUCUGAGUACUAUAUAAUAGUUAAAACUUUCAACAACGGAUCUCUUGGUUCUG
rnacentral:misc_RNA from 1 species